rnacentral:rRNA from 1 species
CGCCCUACGGGAGGCAGCAGGGGGGUAUAUUGGACAAUGGGGGCGAGCCUGAUGCAGCAAUGCCGCGUGUGUGAAGAAGGCCUUUGGGUUGUAAAGAUCUUUGUUUUGGAAUGAAAGGGUAUUAGCUAAUACGAAGUGAAAUUGACGGUACCURCAGAACAAGCACCGGCUAACUYCGURCCAGCAGCCGCGGUAAUHCGKAGGGUKSRAGCGUUAAUCGGAAUUACUGGGCKUAAAACGU